AGAUAUGGGCCAGCCAUGUGCCCUGGCAGCAGGAACAACCAGCAGAAGGAACACAGCCUUUAGAUUGAGGGAAAGAAUUAUUCCUCAUUUCUCCACACUAGAUACUGCAUCCAAUUUUGGGCACAGCAGUGCAAGAAGGAGUGACAACCUGGAGUGAGUUCAGCAGAACUGGGAGGAGAGGCACCUCAUGGUGAGAGAGCAGGAGACAGAAGGCUUAAAUUGACAUGAGGCAUUCCAACUGCAUAUAAGAGUGAAUCUUUUGCCCAUGAAGACAGUUAGGCAGUGGAAGAGACUACUCAGAGAAGCUGUGCAGGCUCCAUCCUUGCAGAUGUUGAAGACCCAACUGGUUAAAGCCCUGAACAACCUGAUCUUUGCUCAGAGGUGACCCAGCUUUGAGCAGGAGAUUGGACUGGAGUCCUCAUAUGGUUCUUUCCAGCCUGAAUUAUACAAUGAGCAUAUUCUAUGAUUCAGAAACAGUUCUUAAUAAUAUGUCUAUGUAAACUAUGUUGCAAGAUCAAACUCGUUUUUAGUAAUGCAAUUGGGGCUAUUCCAUGUAACAAGCUUCAUGGUGUGGACUUUUGGUGAGAGUGUGGUGAAGAAAGGCUAUUCCUAGAUCUUUCUGGAGAAUGUCUACAGCCUUAACUUAGAGAUCCUUGGACUGGGUGUUCAUGAGUAGAGAAGGAAAGCUCAUUAAACUCAGAUACUCUGAUUUCCCAUACUGGUGUUGCUCACAGCUCUGCACAGAGGAGCCCUCCAUGUGUGAACCUGGAGUGUUCCAGUACCAGUGCACCAGCGGGCAACCUUAACACAUCCACCAGAGGUGCUUGGAAGACCAAUCUCCUUCAUCUGUGAAAGAGGAUAAUGCUCAGGCAGCCAGGACAGUAGGUUCCUGUUUCCCACUACAAUGUGAGCCAAGUGCCCAGCAACCACCAGAACAGAAGAAGAACAUGACUUUCAAGUUCAUCAUUGGAGAUCCCUUCAUAUCAUCCAUAGCUGGUGAACGUAUGUUGUAGCCACAACAGAAAACAGUUCUGUAGGAUUUGAGUCUUUCUGUUGAACAUUAUUAAGCCAGCAGUUCAAAAUCAAUUAAAAUCUGAGUGAAACAAAUCCAACUCAAGGAAAAAUAACUACAGUGAAAUGAUCCAAUCAUGAAUCAAGCUUAAUGAAAAUCAAAGUAAUUAUUGUAUAAAUAAAAUGCUUAGAAGUCACAAGAAAUUUUGUUCAGUAGGUGAAAUCAUCAAGGAACCACUGUGCAUUAAAUCAUGAAUUCAUUUAACAUAAACUAAGAGGAAGACUUGAAACCUGCUCUCUCAGUUCUUGAACAAGUGGUAUAUGAGAUAGUGAACAAAGUAUGGAUGCCUUAUUUAAAGAGGCAAGUAAAGGGCUGGCUUUUUCCAUGUUUUUCACCAGUUAGGUUUCGACUGUUUUCUGUAUCAUCACUGAACUUUUCUAGAUCACUUUUCAGGUGUGAUUUCAGGUAACAGCUUUGAGAUACAUCGAUUCAAUAGGAAUCUGUGCUCUCGUUUUUGGCAGUCUGGAUCAGACUGCAUGUCUUGUGAUGCCUAGUGCAAAUCAUGCAGUAGUUAUAGGAAAAGAUAACAUCUUCAGGUUAUCCUGAAAAUGAUGAAUCUUCAGGUCCUCUGAAUAUGAUGGAUAGAGCUCUGAUCAGCCAACUUCAUUUCUUAUUGCAUGUUUUCUCUCUCUGAAAAUGAAUAACUCCUGAAUUGUAUUUAUACUGCUACUACUGUUAAUAAAACUCACUUAGUUGAAUGCUGUUCUAUCUUGCUUUACUGUAAAUCCCAAAAACGUAAUUUACCUGGAUUUAGAUUGAUGCAAGUAAAUGAGAGAGGUCU
rnacentral:lncRNA from 7 species